GGGUCAUCCUGUUUCAAAUUCAAUAUCUUGCUCUCUCAUUGCUAUAGCACUGGUGGCAUUAUUUUUCACCAAAUUUGCACAUUUCUCACUCAUCCUCCCUCUAAUUCUUAUUGCACACUCGUUUAAGCAACAGAAGAGUCACCAAAGGAACCUCCCUCCAGGCCCUAUUUCAAUCCCAAUAUUUGGGAAUUGGCUCCAAGUUGGGAAUGACCUUAACCACCGUCUUCUAGCCUCCAUGUCAAAGUCUUAUGGUCCCAUAUUCCUACUAAAGCUUGG
rnacentral:misc_RNA from 1 species